GAUGAACGCUGGCGGCGUGCCUAAUACAUGCAAGUCGAGCGAACGGACGAGAAGCUUGCUUCUCUGAUGUUAGCGGCGGACGGGUGAGUAACACGUGGAUAACCUACCUAUAAGACUGGGAUAACUUCGGGAAACCGGAGCUAAUACCGGAUAAUAUUUUGAACCGCAUGGUUCAAAAGUGAAAGACGGUCUUGCUGUCACUUAUAGAUGGAUCCGCGCUGCAUUAGCUAGUUGGUAAGGUAACGGCUUACCAAGGCAACGAUGCAUAGCCGACCUGAGAGGGGGAUCGGCCACACUGGAACUGAGACACGGUCCAGACUCCUACGGGAGGCAGCAGUAGGGAAUCUUCCGCAAUGGGCGAAAGCCUGACGGAGCAACGCCGCGUGAGUGAUGAAGGUCUUCGGAUCGUAAAACUCUGUUAUUAGGGAAGAACAUAUGUGUAAGUAACUGUGCACAUCGUGACGGUACCUAAUCAGAAAGCCACGGCUAACUACGUG
rnacentral:rRNA from 1 species